UUUCAAUGUUUUUCUAAUUAUUUCCCCCAUUUUGGCUGAAGCUAUUAGACAAAUUUGGCCCCACUUUACAAAUAGUUUUGGAAGCUUCCAAAACUUCUAUUUUGGUGACUUUUCCCAUCAUUGAUGAAUAAUAGCUUGAUCUCUGCCCUACUCACCAGCUGAGAUCUCAUUCACUCCCCUGUGCUCAUCCUUCCACUCCUUGCUGCUUGGUCCUGCCCAGGUGGCUGGGGCCGUGUCUACGCUGCCUGGCCUUGCUGCUGCUCACCCCAGGACACCACAAGGAGUGUCCCUGCCCUUUCCCAUGCAGGGUGUAAGCUGAAAGGCAUACGCAUGUGUGUUGGGUGCUCCUGCAUGCUCAGGCUGUGAGACUUGUGCUCUUCUGUGUCCUUCUCAGGUUUGGAUGAAGCCUUGGUGCUGCACAGUGGUGGUGCAGGAUCUUCUCCAGAAGGCCCAGCAGUUCCACCCAUGGCAAACCCGAGUUAAUGCUCCCUGCUGGUCCCUCGUGGUCCCCAGCACGAGGCAUUUGCUGGAUCCCAGGUGAUGAGGCCCAUCUGUUUUAGGGGAUCUGUUUCAUUUCUGUGCCCCUCCAGACUGCCCAGUGGUGUCUCAGAGUGAUCCAUGCCCGCAUGGUGCCUGCAGCCUUCCUGCACCUUCAGCUUGGCCACAGAGCACGUGCUUGGCUGGCAUCGGUGUGGUUUACAGGCUAGCUUGGCCCUUCGGCAUGAAAAGAGGAGCCAUUCUCGCAAUUCUGCAGCCUUAACCACAUGCAAAGAGUAAAAUGCCUGAGCAGGAGCCUGGACUGUUGAUAUCCUCCUGGGUGGGAUAUUCUUUCCCAGUCUCAGAGAAGCCCUCAGACUGCUCAAGUGGGAGCUGAGAGGAAGACUGAGCGCCUUGUCAACAGGCGCUUCUUCCAGGAAGGAGGAGAACCAUGAGCCUUUUCCGCGAUGCCUGCUUGCGGCACUGGGACUGGCUCCAGGGCGGGUGGCAGCGUCCCAGGGCCUGGAGCAGCAAACAUUGGGAGCCCAAAUGUCUGCUCAAAAAGGAGAAAAGCCCCGGGUUGUGAAAACUGUAGGGGCCAGGAUGAAAUCAGGUAAUCGCUGAUGCUUUGUGCUCUUCUGUGCCAGUGUGUUUGGUGCUGUGGUCCUGCCCAGUGACCUAGGUUCCUGCCUAUGCCUCUUGUAAACAGUGGCAUCAUGGGCAAAUCUUAUCGUGUUUCUCCCUGAAGUGGCUGUGGUUUAUUUUUCCUGAGAAAGGAUUUGUUUUUUAGAAGACAUCAAUUAAAAUCUGAAGCUGUUCCAGAGAGGGUGUUGGUUGGAUGAGUGUAUUUUAAUAGUUUUUGUUGGUUUUGACAUUGUUGACACAUCCAUUAGGCAAUGUACCAAGGAAAAUGGGGAGGGGAGGGGUUAUACUAAAGCAACUUUGUCUUUUUAAAUGUCCAUUAAUCUCCAUUUAUACAAGGACACUUUUUUCCAAAGGUUGCAAUUAAAGCAUGUUCCAGUUGACCUGGUAAGUUGCCCCCCUUCACUCUGAUUUAGUGCUUUGACAAAAUGUUCUGAAUUUGGCUUUUCCUGUGAUUUGGAGUUUGGUGAGCUGGUUUGUUGUGUUUUUUUUUCUUUUCUGAGAGCCUGAAACAUCUUGCAGGGUGAGAAUUGUCCCUUCACUGCUGGACACAUGGUGGCUCAGUUCUGUAGGGGGCCCUGCACAUACUCAAUGUGUGCUUCUGAUCCUGUGUCUUUUGGCUCUUGUUUCUCACCACCCUCUGGCCAGGGUUCGUACCCUGAUGCACAUACCGUAGUAGCACGGAGCAGCUCCAUGUGGGCUCUGCAGAAUUUAUUCUUCUUGCCAUAAAGUUCCUGCUGCCAAAGAAAGAAGCUGAAGUGACUUUUUUCUGCCGGUUUAUCUUGCCUGGGGAUCAGCACUGUUGCUGCUCAGGUUGGAGAACCCAUCUUUGACCUGUGUGCCCAAACUCAACAAAUCAAUGCCCUCACAUGGAGUAAAAGCCAACGAGUCCUGGUCCUCUAGGUGUUGCUUUUUCUCAGGACAAGUUUUGAGUGAGGGUGACUUUACUUUUGUGCUUUGCUGUCUUGAGGCUCUGGCUGGCAAGCAUAAUUAACAUGGACUGGGGUUUGUAAUUCCUGGCACAGAAACAGCAUUAAUGGAUUUGUUCAGUUCCCUUUUAUCAGCCUUCCCAGCCUGCCUUUUAUCUCAACACUUUGGGGGAGGGCUGAGAUGGGAUUAAAAGAAUGUGAAGUCCUGAUAAAUGGAGAUCGAAACCUAAGAGCUGGGGCAGAUCAAUGCAGGUCCAUCAUGAAGAACUGCAGAGAGCUUGUAGGGCUGACUAAUUGAGUGGACCGCAGCCCUGGGGAAUGAGGCUGCUGUGGGAUGGUGCAGGAGCUCAGGGACCCCAGAGGAAUAUAUCAUGAAACCUGUUGGGCUGGGUGAAAGUGGAGCCCAUGUAAAGGCAUCUGGCCUUUUGCUUCCUGCAAAUCAGUCUUGCGCUUCUGUUUUCCUGACUCAACAGUUUGCUGUAGCGCUGAUUAGCAUCUUGGCUGGAUGAAACUUUCCCAGGCUUUGCAGCACUGCAAAGAGUUGCUGGUGCAUCCUGAAUCUAAAGAAGCCACUUAUGUUAUUUGUGUUGCUCUGCUCCCAGAGGUGGACCCUGGUAUGUGGAAUAUCGACCUCUGCCCCUGGAGGAGCUGUGGAUGGAGCUGGGAUCCAGAGGAAGGAGAAGGCAAUGGACCACAUGGCCAUUUGGUGUGGGGAGAAGGAUGCAGCAGAGCUUGGAAACUCCUCCAAACCACCUAUCACACCUGAGAAUGGCAAGGGAGUAGAAAACAGAUCUUAUGGGAGGAGGUUUCUCUGCACCUGGAGCAACACCAUGAGGGUGACCAUCAUCCUGCAUGCUGGGCAAGCUGGUGCCUCUGUAUGGACCCUUAUCCUCAUGGACUUAAGGGUAAUGUGUUCUCACAAUGGGAUUUGCAGGCAGCUUCGUUGCCUUCCUGCCUCAGAGGCAAGGACCAAAGCUCCCUGCUCGGCAUGGGGACACCCAUCAGUACCUGUUGUGGCUUUGUGAAUUUUGCUUCUGCGGCCUGGUUCCAGCAAGGCCACUGACACUGUAGCUGGCUUGUCCAAAAACCCAGCCAGAAGCCAAGGCCCUACUUCUCAAACCGGCUCCUGCAUCAGAGAUUGUCUCUGUCUUCCUGCACACCAGCUCUUUCACCUCUGCUUGGAAGCUCUGAAAAGCUUCCUGGGAGGCUCCUGGGGCCCCUCUUUUGUUGCCUGCCCUGCCCUCAUUUGUUCGUUUUUCCGCACCCUUUUUCAGGCUUCUGUUUCCCAUGCACCUCCGCAAGAACCAGAGAAGAGCUUUCUAUUCACCUGAUGCUGGCUGCUCAUCUUUGCUCAGUCUCUUUCCCCCACUGUUGCCUUUUACUUCUCCCAAUUCCCUCCUUCAUUUGCCUUUGCUUAUUUUGAGUACAAAGCUCCUCCAUCACAGUGUUUAUAGUUUGCAAAGCCUUGGGCCCAUUGCUUAAUUCUCCUUCCUACAUCCCUACUUAACCACCACGGCUCCCUGUGCCCUUUCCCUGCUUCCAGAGCGCCCAGGAUGGAUCCCAGUGCCUGUCCCCAGCUGUCUGCCCUGUGGUUCCCAUAUCCUAGCAGCCCAGUUCCCAAGCACUGCCCCAUCACGCUCACUGACUCCUCCUCUUUCUGAUCCCUGGAAACCUGCUUUUUUUUUCUUCUGGAGUUGGCAGCAGAUGUCUUUGCCUCUCUUUUUACUAGCUGUACUUUCUUCUCCUCAGCCCCAGAGCAGCUUUGAGCAAGAUCUGUCCUCCCCAGUGCCCAGCAAGGGUUGGUGAAGGGUGCAGGCAUCCCCUGCUCAGUGCACUGCCAUGCUCUGGCACCGCAGCUGUCUGGCACCAGCCUCAUCAUCCUGACACCAAGUAAAUGUCAGCAGCUUGCCUCGUGUCUGCUUCUCCGUAUCAGAUUUGCUCAUGGUUUCCCCUUGUCUCUCCCCAAAAUAGGCUGGGCUGCUCUAAAGCAUGGCUGCCUAUUUCCCAUCUUUGCAAGGACGUGGUGAGGGAUGAGUGCUGGCUGCAUCCCAGCUCUCUUUCCCUCUGAGAGCUCCUGGUCCAGGGGAGGCAUUUGGUGAACUGAGUCACAGAGCCACAGCCUGUGUCCAGGCAAGCGGAGCGAUGCUGCUGUGUCAAAGAUUUGUGUGCCAGUGGGGACUGAGGCCAGCGGAGCAUGAGAGUGCGGUGAGCAGCAGACAAGUGGGAUGUGGGCAGCAGAUCCCUGAGACGUGAGGUCGGGCUCGUCCCAGGCCCACCAGAGCGGGAACUGGCCAGGCCAGCCCAAAAUAGACUCCUUGUCAGAGUUUCCACCAGGCCUCGGGGGCUCCUUAUCUCUUCACUGCUGCUCCUGCGCGGGAUGAGCUGUGGACAAGAGGCCUCGAAGAGCAAUGUUGCCCCGGUCACCAGAGCUUCCUGUUGUGUGGGGCCCUCAUCCCAUGAGAAGGGGAAAUUGAGAUGCAGAAGGGCUGUUCCUUACUGCAGGAAAUAAGGAUCCCUGAGGCUCCGUGGGUGCCUGGCCCUUCUGGGCUUCCUGCCUGUUGUCUGUGCUGGAGCGGAUGCCAUGGGUUCCCGAUGCAGGUGCUGGGUCUGCAGCAAAGGUAGAAGCUGGAGGAGUCAUCAAAGAGCCCUGGAUGCACCACAGUGGAGGGAGAAUGCCUGCCCUGUGCUGUGCCUGGGAGCUACUGCCCCAACAGAUGUCUUUUGGUUGGGGUGUCCAGUUCCUGUCCCUGUCAUAGAGCAACUUUUAGCAGAUACACCUCAGACGCAGACCCCAGGACUGAGACAGCAUCAGUGGGAAGCAUCGGAGUCACUGCCAGGACCAGUGUUCUCUGACUGCCACUGUGGACCGAAGGGAUGUUGACCUCCCUGGACAAGCGACGUGGAGGCAGGGACAGCGCUCCCUCUUGGGCUGAGCCAUGUAGAAACCCAGCCUCAACCCUGUGCUGUGGGCACCCAGUGAAACCCAGUGAACAAGAGAAAGCUCCUGCCUACCGAGCCCAGGAGCAGAAGCCAAGUCAGCCUGAUGCACGGAACGAAGAGAACUCAGGACAAGCUUCUGUCUCUGGACACCCUUUAACCUGUCAGUAGCCGAUGGCCUCAAGAUCUGCACAUGCUCAAAAAGCCCUCAGUGCUCGGUGCCAGGAUCCAGGGCUCCAGGAGGUUUCAGUGGGCAGCAGGGCCGGAUGCUGACCUCCUCACCUGCUGCCGCAGGACCUGCUUCCCUCCCUCCUCCACCUGCACCGCACGUGCUUGGCGCUGCCACGGCCACAUCCUCAGCUCAACCUUCCCCAGGCUGCGUGCAGCCAGGGAGCGAUGCCGGCAGCUGCUGGGGCUCUCCACCGCGGGGGUCUCGUCCCCUCGCUGCAGCUGGGACACGGGCAUGUUCUCCAGGGAAGGUGUUUUCUCCAGCACAAUACGUAACAGCCGGCCUAAGGCACGCUCCCUCCGAGGACCGUUCCAGCUCCUUCCAGUGUGGUUGUAUUUUAUCUGUGGAGCUCUGUAAGGAUUUUGUUCCGUCAUCCAGGAAUUUUUAUGACUCCUUUGUGUGUAUAUAAUGUGAUUGCCCUGGAACAGAGAGAAAUUAAUCAUUGUUCCUUUGUUAGUUUUCAGGAAUUUUUAAUGUCUAUGUUUUUGUUCAUCUGUCAUGUCCAAAUGUGGGGUCCAUGAGCUAUUUGACAUUGAAAAUGACUUAAUUGCUUAGAUUUUCCCCCUCAGUGUUUACGGACACUUGUUCAUGGUAGAUUUUGAGUGUGACAUUAUGUACCAUGUACUUUCCGGCUGUUCCCAAUUUUUCACUCCAUUCCAGUGGUUCACAGCAUCUCCUCUCCCUCCAGCCCUCAAGCCUGAACUUUGUAAUCUCCUGGAGGGCUGGUGGGCAAGUGAGGCUGUGAGAGGGAGCCCAGGGGAACAGUAACAUGAGGUGGGAACCCAGAGAUUCUCAUGGUUCUGCAGAGAUGUCUGCACAGGGAAGAUGUCUGAGACAUCAUUGCACAUGGUGCCUGGCACCAGGGCUCUGGCCAGGGCUGCAGCUGACACCGCUGGGUUGCACACUGCGUGCAUCAGGCUCUGUCACAUGGAGCAGGGAGGAAGCAAGAGCCCGGCAUGCUGCUGCUCAGAGCCAUCCCAGUUUCCUCACCAGCUCCUGGCGCUGGACAGGCUCAGUCUGCCUGGGCUGGGGAGCAUCACACGGAGGAGGUGAGCACACAAGUGGAGCCUGGAUGUGCCUCCCCAGAGACCGCAUCCCAGUUGCUCACAUCUGGAGUGGCAGCAGCUCGUACAAGCCUCCAGCCUUGGCAGGGCACUGCUUCUGGCCUCCCCACCUCCGGCAUGAGCAACCACAUGGGGUCACGCUGCCAGGAGCAUCCUAGGGCUGCGCAGGGAAGGUGCACAGCAUGGGGCAGGUGCAGCCCUUGGGGCACUGGGUUGCCCAUAUUUGCCUGGGUGGCUGCAGAUGGGCUGCUUUCCCUGCCAGCCCCGCAUCUCUGCGGGGCCAGCGUGCCUGUUGGGCUCCACCAUGCAGCCUUUCCAGGCUCCUUGUGCAAACGGCAACCAGGAAGCACUCGAGGAGCAGAGGGAACUCUCUGGGCUCUGCUCCCAGAUCGCUGUUAUACUGCAAGGCAUCAGCUUGGGGCCGGUUUAAACCCAAGUGGAUCAAGGAUAGCUUGACUGGUCAAGAGGAGGCAGCCAAGCCAAACAGCAGCAGCUCCCAAACCUCCUCCUAAAGCCAGAGCCGACUAGGUUACUCUCUGGACUUCUGGCUCUUUAGAUAGAAGGGGCUGGUGCCAGCCCCGCCAGACACAGCCUGCAAAGGACAAGGUGUGGGGACGGGCACUCGCUGGCUGCAGAACUGACCAGCCUGACAUUUGGGCUCUUUGCAAACUCCCCAGGGUAGAUGGAAACUACGUAUCACUAAACAUACUACACACGUCAUUAGGAAAAUUUUAGUUAAAAUAAAAGAUGCAAAUUGUCCCAGGCUGUGUUUCCUGAUCACUCUGCAAAGCCUUUGCAACAUCAUGUGCUUUUGCUGUGGCUCUGUAAUGUCUUCGACGCUUUCUUGGGCACGUUUACUCCUGCUCCAUUGAGGCUGUUUUGCAUUAAGUUGUUUGUUUAGCAGCUACUGGGGUUUUGGCAGGACAGCUGUUGCCUUCUGCUGGUUGCAGACCAUGAGGGUGUCAUGCGAUGCUGCUUGCAGAGCAGCUGGCCGUGUCAAGGUGGAGCCUCCUCAUUUCGGAGAGAAGAACACUUAUGUCCAGACCUGCAAGGCUCCCAGGGGUCUGCACGGUGUGGCCAGCGUGGCAGGGCUGGGGGUGCCAGCUGGGCAGCAUCACCAGCCCCACAGCACCCAUCACCACCACUCGUCCCAGGGCCCUGGGGACCCAUGGUGACCGUGGGCCAGGCUCCGCAGACCACUCUGGGGAGGUCACCCAGAUCCCAGACCCCCAGUGAAACCCUCCGGACCCAGCGUGUACUAAAGAAAACAGUCCCAGCGUAUUAAUACUUGCAAAAACAAAUAGGAGGAAGACAGGAGAAGGAAUGAGCCAGCCAUUAGGGGAGUGCUAAGUUUCUCCCCUCUAGACCUCCGAUCCCUGCAUUUCCUAUGGACAUUUCCUCCCUGAGCACCUCAUGCCAAGAGCAGUUCUGGCAAAUAUCUUCAUCUGUGCCUGGGCGGGUCUGCCCCAGCAUGGUUUGCUUUUGAAGGGCACAUAUGCCCCUCCCAAAGCCAGAUUUGGCUCUUUUUUUUUUUUUUGAUCUCUUCUGCAUCUCCGGCACGCACAUCACAAUGCAACAUCCUGAUUUCCAGCAGGGCAAAGCUCUGCUUGGAUGGGAGAGCACAGAGAGGAGCCAUGGCCAAGGGAGAUGCUGCUGGAGCCAGCUACACAUGCCUCCUGGGGGCUUUCAAGGAUUCUCCUUGCUGUUCCUCAACACAUCUCUUUAUUUUUUAUUUUUUUAUUAUUUUUUUCCAAUUUUUGUUUAAUUCUAGGAAAGGCCAGCAACUGAUUUCAGGUGGAUCCUGAGCCCAACAAGUGAAAUGAGACUAAACCGGCAGCUGAAAGCAGUCAGCCUCGGUGAGCGUGCCGGCGAGGCAGACAAGACGCAUGUCGGCAUGGUGUUCCUCCCUGCUGGGAAGAGGACUCAAUGCAUGCACCCUGCGCCCACCCUGCCCGCCCCCGGGAGCACUCGUGGUACCGGGCAGCACAAGACGCCGGUCAUCCCUCAUCCCAAGCCCAUGGUAAUGCUCUGCUGGAGUUUCCAGCUGGGCUGGGUGAGUAUUUUGGGGAUUGCAGGGUGGCGACAGUCAGAAGGGACACCUGGGGGUGUCUGAGCAGAGGGUGACAUUUAGCUUGGCUGUAAUCUGUCCCCCAAAGCAAGCAGGUCUCCCUUGGCCUUGUGGCUGCCAAGUUACCACCCCACAUGCAAGUUAAUUAGCUUUGCUCUUUGUUUUCUUCCCAGUGCUUUUCCACAAAUAUCUGUAUAAACAGGAUUUCUCUUUCUCACUUUUGAAAAUGGAAGUGUUCUGUGCUGCA